AAGGUGGGUCCUGGAGGCCCAAACUGGGUCCUGGAGGCCCAAGGUGGGUCCUGGAGGCCCAAAGUGGGUCCUGGAGGCUGAAACUGGGUCCAGGAGGCCCAAGGUGGGUCCUGGAGUCCCAAGGUGGGUCCUGGAGGCCCAAGGUGGGUCCU